rnacentral:rRNA from 1 species
AUGAGACAACCCACCAUAUAUCAAUUAAUGGAGCGUUUGGAUUAUUGGAGUUAUCCUGGAUGCCCCUAUCGUCUAGUGGUUCAGGACAUCUCUCUAUCAAGGAGGCAGCGGGCAUUCGACUUCCCCUGGGGGUAG